rnacentral:tRNA from 3 species
UGGGGUGUCGCCAAGUGGUAAGGCACUGGAUUUUGAUUCCAGCAUUCGUAGGUUCGAUCCCUACCACCCCAGCCA